GCCGACUCUCCCUCCUCCCAUUUCAAUGGCUUCUCGUCCGCCAUUUCUGCUGCUUCUCCUCUUCCUCUUCCUCUUCCUCUUCGCGCUCUUCUCUCUGUUCGAUCCCCGCUCUCGAGCCGCGAAGCUCCCGUUCCACCCGGAGGACGUACUCCCCUGCUGCCGAGGCAGCUGUCCUGGCCCAUCCUCAACGCCCUUCGCCGUCCCGUGGACCUGUUGCCCACCUUCGUCGGUGCGGCCUCUCCCUCCAACGGCUCUCUGGCGUGGAAAGGAGCUUGCUUCUACGAGAACACCGCUUGGUUGGAGUUCCACAACGAGACCAGCGGCGAGUUCGGCGGAGGCACGCUUCACAUCAAGGUCAGCAAAGCCCAUAGCUGGACAUGUAUGGAUAUUUAUGUCUUUGCAACCCCAUACCGCGUGACAUGGGACUACUAUUUUUUAUCUCGUGAGCACACAUUCCAGUUCAAAGAGUGGGAAGGAAAAGCUGAGUUUGAAUAUGUGAAAAGCAGAGGAGUGUCAAUCUUUCUGAUGCAAGCUGGGAUGCUAGGGACCCUUCAAGCACUGUGGGAUGUGUUUCCCUUGUUUUCAAAUACGGGGUGGGGGGAGAAAUCUAACAUUGGUUUUCUCAAUAAGCAUAUGGGAGCUUCAAUUGAGCAACGUCCCCAGCCUUGGGUUACAAACAUCAGCAUUGAUGAUAUCCACUCUGGAGACUUUCUUGCAAUAUCCAAAAUUCGUGGGAGGUGGGGUGGUUUUGAGACUCUAGAGAAAUGGGUCAGUGGCGCAUAUGCUGGUCACACAGCUAUGUGUUUAAGGGAUUCUGAAGGAAAGCUUUGGGUUGGUGAAUCUGGACAUGAUAAUGAUCAGGGAGAAGAUGUCAUUGCUGUGCUACCAUGGGAUGAAUGGUGGGAGUUUGAGCUUAACAAAGAUGACUCAAAUCCCCACAUUGCAUUGCUUCCACUGCAUCCUGAUAUGCGAGCCAAAUUUAAUGAGACUGCUGCAUGGGAGUAUGCAGAGAGUAUGAAUGGGAAACCAUAUGGUUAUCACAACAUGCUUUUUAGCUGGAUAGACACUAUCGAUGCAAAUUAUCCACCGCCAUUGGAUGCUCAUGUGGUUGCUUCUGUUAUGACGGUAUGGAACCAAAUGCAACCAGCCUAUGCUGCGAACAUGUGGAAUGAAGCACUCAACAAGCGACUAGGAACAGAGGGCUUGGAUCUUCCUGAUCUAUUAGUGGAAACUGAAAUGAGGGGCUCAUCUUUUGCUGAACUGCUGACAAUUCCAGAGCAAGACGAUUGGGUAUACAGCGAUGGGAAGUCUGCCUCGUGUGUAGCAUUUGUUCUUGAAAUGUACAAAGCAGCAGGACUCUUUGAUCCAAUUUCUAGCUCCGUCCAAGUUACAGAGUUCACUAUAAAAGAUGCUUACUCACUAAAGUUCUUUGAGAAUAAUUCAAGCCGCUUGCCGAAGUGGUGCAAUGAUGGGGACGACGUCGAGCUUCCAUUUUGUCAAAUACGAGGUAGGUAUCGAAUGGAGCUGCCAGGAUACAAUACAAUGGACCUAUACCCUCAUAUGAAUGAGAGGUGUCCAUCUCUGCCCCCAAAAUAUUCCAGGCCAUCCGAUUGCUAGAAAACAUUUCCUAUUAUGUGAAUAGAACUUUGUAUAUUGGUAGGUGAUUCCAUCAGAUUGUAGCUUAUGACUGCAUAUUUUUGUAGAAUGUGUGGUAAAUAAAGACCCGUAGGUGGCACAGAUUCAGAAAUUUACUUCUUCAAAAUCCAUUUAUUUGAUAUGAGCCCACAUAACAUGUAUAAAAUUUUUGCAUAAUGUUAUACUGACACUUCAUAUAAAUCAAUCGUUGUAU